rnacentral:rRNA from 1 species
GACGGAGGAUGCAAGCGUUAUCCGGAAUGAUUGGGCGUAAAGCGUCCGCAGGUGGCAGUUCAAGUCUGCUGUCAAAGACCGGGGCUUAACUUCGGAAAGGCAGUGGAAACUGAACAGCUAGAGAAUGGUAGGGGCAGAGGGAAUUCCUGGUGUAGCGGUGAAAUGCGUAGAUAUCAGGAAGAACAUCGGUGGCGAAGGCGCUCUGCUGGACCAUAACUGACACUCAGGGACGAAAGCUAGGGGAGCGAAUGGG